rnacentral:rRNA from 1 species
UACGGGGGGAGCAAGCGUUGUUCGGAUUUACUGGGCGUAAAGGGCGCGUAGGCGGCCAGCACAAGUCAGUUGUGAAAUCUCCGGGCUUAACUCGGAAAGGUCAACUGAUACUGUGCGGCUAGAGUGCAGAAGGGGCAACUGGAAUUCUCGGUGUAGCGGUGAAAUGCGCAGAUAUCAGGAGGAACACCGGUGGCGAAGGCGGGUCUCUGGGCCGAAAUUGACGCUGAGGAGCGAAAGCGUGGGGAGCAAACAGG